rnacentral:rRNA from 1 species
CGAACGCUGGCGGCGGGCUUAACACAUGCAAGUCGAAGGAGAAGGUGGAAGCUUGCUUUCACUGGAGACUGGCGAACGGGUGAGUAACGCGUAGAUAACCUGCCUUUAACUGGGGGAUAACACUGCGAAAGUGGUGCUAAUACCGCAUAAUGCAGCGGGGCCGCAUGGCCACAGUUGUUAAAGCCUUCGGGCGGUUAGAGAUGGGUCUGCGUGCUAUUAGUUAGUUGGUGAGGUAACGGCUCACCAAGGCGAUGAUAGCUAGGGGGUCUGAGAGGAUGAUCCCCCACACUGGGACUGAGACACGGCCCAGACCUCUACGGAGGGCAGCAGUGAGGAAUCUUGCGCAAUGGGCGAAAGCCUGACGCAGCCACGCCGCGUGUCGGAAGACGGCCCUAUGGGUUGUAAACGACUUUUAUCAGGGAAGAACGAGGGGGUUUAGAUCUCCUGUGACGGUACCUGAUGAAUAAGCACCGGCUAACUCC